UACGGAGGGUGCGAGCGUUGUCCGGAAUCAUUGGGCGUAAAGGGCGCGUAGGUGGCUCGUCAAGCGUGCGGUGAAAGUCGGGGGCUCAACCCCCGAUCGGCCGUGCGAACUGGGGGGCUUGAGCACUGUAGAGGCAGGCGGAAUUCCGGGUGUAGCGGUGGAAUGCGUAGAGAUCCGGAAGAACACCGGUGGCGAAGGCGGCCUGCUGGGCAGUUUAGCUGACACUGAGGCGCGACAGCGUGGGGAGCGAACGGG
rnacentral:rRNA from 1 species